rnacentral:rRNA from 1 species
CCUACGGGAGGCAGCAGUAGGGAAUAUUGCUCAAUGGGGGAAACCCUGAAGCAGCAACGCCGCGUGGAGGAUGAAGGUUUUCGGAUUGUAAACUCCUUUUGUUAGAGAAGAUAAUGACGGUAUCUAACGAAUAAGCACCGGCUAACUCCGUGCCAGCAGCCGCGGUAAUACGGAGGGUGCAAGCGUUACUCGGAAUCACUGGGCGUAAAGGGCGCGUAGGCGGGAUAGCAAGUCAGAUGUGAAAUCCUAUGGCUUAACCAUAGAACUGCAUUUGAAACUGUUAUUCUAGAGUAUGGGAGAGGUAGGUGGAAUUCUUGGUGUAGGGGUAAAAUCCGUAGAGAUCAAGAGGAAUACUCAGUGCGAAGGCGACCUGCUAGAACAUAACUGACGCUGAUGCGCGAAAGCGUGGGGAGCAAACAGGAUUAGAUACCCCAGUAGUC